rfam:Schistosoma mansoni, Puerto Rico, WGS project CABG01000000 data, contig: 0097
UCAUUGUUGAGGAGUCCCACAAUAGGACGAAACGGCCGUCCAGUGC